UUACACUUACACACUUUAUAUAAAGAUAUGCACAAAAUUGUGACAAUCUAGUACACUAAUAGUUUACGUUUUAGGAUUGGGAUAAUCAGCAUAGCCCUUCAUAUUGGAUUUUUAUAAUCCUCUUUGUUGCACCAAUCACGUUUCUAAGGGAAGUGAUGUAACCACACUGUUCCCUCAAAAGGAGGAUUAGUGCACUUAUGAUUUCAUUACAGACACAGGGUUGCCACUGGUGGUUCACAAGAGGGUUCCAUACCUAUUGGAGUAUCCUGUGCAUCUGAUUGUCUGAAUAUUAUACACAAGUUUUUGAUCUGUGAGGCUUUGUGGAUCACGCAUUUAAAAGUCCCAGUGGUCCAUAUGGUUUUUCUGAUUCCAAGAGGAGCACUCCUUGGUGCUCUACUAAUGUAUUGAUGGUACUUACCAAUUUUAUGAGAUAUACCCCUGAUGAAGUCUUGGUAUAAGGCGAAACGCAUUGGUUUAUCUGUAUAAGUUAAGUGACCUCCAAUCUACAAUAAGAAGGAGGAGUCCGUAGAGAAUCAUUUACAUACUUGUUCUCAAUGUGACCAUCGAAAUUGUGUUAACUGUGAGAGGAUGUCAUCUAAUAACAUUUGUAUUGUUAUGGACAUUGAAGCUGUAUUUUAUAUUUGAUUGUUACCGAAGACUGGAGCUACAGUUAAUACAGACUGGCACAAGAGCACAGUUUAUUUUAUUAGAUUCUUUAAUAUAUCAAGAGGACUAUUUGGAAAGGCACAAAGAUUUUUUCCUUAGAUUGUUUAAGAAGACAUAAGUCAUGCAAACACACCCUGAUGAAGUCAGCAUUGACGAACCGCGUUGGGGGAUAUGCGGGUUGCUAGAUCCGGUGUUAACAAGAAAAUUUGGAUCAACAAAACCCGAAAGCUGCAUCCAAAGCAAAACACAAUGAUUAAUUAGAUCCAAAACACUGGGGUCUGCGCACAUCUCUAAUUUACACCUGUGGGUCUCGCUGUAAUUGAAUUUACAAAUAAGCUCUCAGCUGUAGCAGAACUGGGUGCAUAUAUGGUUCUUUCUGCCACACACAUCAGGAAGAAAAACAUCCAUGUGAGACAGACGCGAAGCACCAGAUUAAGAGAGGAGAGAAUCAACAGGAACGGUGUUGGUGGUCCGCCACAGAAAACCGCCAAAACCUCUCUUCCGGUCAGUGACAGGAUCUGAUCCUUAUCUCGUUGAUGACACAAGUUAAACAGGAAAGGGAAGAUGGACAAACCCAGAGUGACCGCAUUUCCCAGCAUCUGAUACCCCACACCAUGUUCAUAGGAGCUCACCUGCACGUUAAAUAAAAUAGGUGUGAUAAUUUUAAGAAAUAUUAAAUGAAAUAUUUGUUCAGU